rfam:Burkholderia sp. TSV86 TSV86_47, whole genome shotgun sequence.
GGGCAAGAUAGGUGAAGUAGGCCCACCGGCAAGCCGGUGCUCCUACUUCACUUUCCCUUAUUCGCGCCUUCGGCGCUCAACGGGAAUCUUGCUCUGCGAGGCC